rnacentral:rRNA from 1 species
GACGAACGCUGGCGGCGUGCUUAACACAUGCAAGUCGAGCGGUAAGGCCCUUUCGGGGGUACACGAGCGGCGAACGGGUGAGUAACACGUGGGUGACCUGCCCUCAGCUCUGGGAUAAGCCUGGGAAACCGGGUCUAAUACUGGAUAUGACUCCAUGACGCAUGUUGUGGGGUGGAAAGCCUUGUGCGGCUGAGGAUGGGCCCGCGGCCUAUCAGCUUGUUGGUGGGGUGAUGGCCUACCAAGGCGACGGCGGGUAGCCGGCCUGAGAGGGCGACCGGCCACACUGGGACUGAGACACGGCCCAGACUCCUACGGGAGGCAGCAGUGGGGAAUCUUGCGCAAUGGGCGAAAGCCUGACGCAGCGACGCCGCGUGAGGGAUGAC